GUGUUCUUUUGGGAAGCACAUAUUCUAAAAUUGGACAAUACAGAGAUUAGCAUAGUCACUGUGCAAGGAUGAUAUGAAAAUUUGUGAAGAAUUCCAUAUUUUU
ensembl:snRNA U6 U6 spliceosomal RNA